rnacentral:lncRNA from 1 species
AAGAAAGGAAACACAAGAGUAAGAGGCUAGUGAAAUACUCUGAGGAAAAUCCCUCAGUUUGAGUACCAGAGAGCUACAUUGCUGAAGGAAGAGGACAAUUGUAUGUCAAAGACAUUAGAGGAGUUAAAUAUUUCUCCCACAUCACCAACGGGGUCAGGCAUUCAAUAGAUUCACGGGUCAUCGCUCCAAGUCUGGAUACUCCAAUGAUUUGCAGAAUCUGAUGAUGCACCACAUGCAAGGACCAGGGUGUAACUUCCCAGCAGCUAUAAAGGGAAACUGAUAUGACACAAAAUUGCAGAAACAUCAACUCCCUGAUGAUCAUACUGACCGAUAGAGAGAGAUAUUGUCAGAUGUUCAUUUCAUUUGAUUUUUAAUUAUUUUCUUCAAUUUUGAAAAAAGAAAACAAAGAUUUCGGAUCUGAGGU